rnacentral:lncRNA from 1 species
AAACAAUAAUGCAAAGUUGAAAGAUAGUGCCAAACACGUAACAAGAGUUGCUGGUAACAAGGAAAAAGCGAAAGAACAGAGGCAAGGUGGAGAGGGCGCACCUCUUUUUUUUUCUGUUUUUUUUUCACAGAGGGUGCCCCAAAACUGAUAAUAUGAACACAGAGGAUCUCAAAUAUCAAAUUGCGGCACACACUUUUUCCGAAAGUACAGGGGUAUUCCGGUAAAAAAAAGGCGAACCUCAGAAUAAUAAGGCGAACCUCAGAAUAAUAAAGGACCAAGAAAGAGAGAUACGGAUUUGAAAGGCUGGCACGGAAUGCGUGGGGGGGGGGGGAAUUUACCCCAGAGAGUCGUGACCCAGGAGGAGUCACGGCGCGCGCAAAGGGAGGUUCCAACGAAACAAAUCCGAAUCACCUUCCUUCUCCCUGUUGGAUUCUUCUUCGUCUUUUUUUUUUUGCUUCUUUCCUUUUUUUUUUUGCACUUUCCUUUUUUUUCUGAUUGCUUUCGAUCUUUUUUUUUUGAUAGGGGAGGGGCGAUCGGAGUAGUGGGAUGGCGCGGCGCGGUUGUCGCGGGGGGAGGUGCGGUGGGCGCGGUUGGUAGGGUUGGCGAGCAGCGGAACGGCGGCGGCGGCGAAAACUAGGGUUAGAUGAAAAACGAGAAACAAGAGAUUAAACACAAGUAACCAGCAACAAUUGAACGAGUAGGCACACAAAUUCAACAAAGACACUUAUUGAAAGAAUGUGCGAGGCUAAACGGUUGCUGGGACAAAGGAUCUAACCUGAAAAAAUUUGUUUUGGUUUUUGUGGACUGUAGGAAGGGAAAAACACUCGGUAAAACUCACCGAUCAACCUGGAAAGCUGAUACCACUUGAUAGAGUCGGAGUGCCCGAUCUUUCGGUGAGUGGAGAUAAAUUCGACUUGGUGGAAGUAGACCCUCACGAUCCGACUAUGACGAGCGAACCCGAAGCGCCAAUGCAAUCGCUGAACCAACUCCCGAUGGUUACCAACCUCGCCGGUGCGAGAUCAGCCUGAUCACGAAGAUCGAUUCCUGUCCGCAAUCGAAGAACGAACAAGAAAGAGAGGCGAGC